rnacentral:rRNA from 1 species
UACGUAGGGGGCAAGCGUUGUUCGGAAUUACUGGGCGUAAAGCGUACGCAGGCGGACCGUUAAGUCGGGUGUGAAAGCCCGGGGCUCAACCCCGGAAUUGCAUUCGAUACUGGCGGUCUUGAGUACGGGAGAGGUGAGUGGAAUUCCUGGUGUAGAGGUGAAAUUCGUAGAUAUCAGGAGGAACACCGGUGGCGAAAGCGGCUCACUGGCCCGAUACUGACGCUCAUGUACGAAAGCGUGGGGAGCAAACAGG